rnacentral:rRNA from 1 species
ACGUAGGCAGCAAGCGUUGUUCGGAGUUACUGGGCGUAAAGAGUGCGUAGGUGGUUCUCUAAGUUCGGUGUGAAAUCUCCCGGCUCAACUGGGAGGGUGCGCCGAAAACUGGAGAGCUUGAGUAUGGGAGAGGAGAGCGGAAUUCCUGGUGUAGCGGUGAAAUGCGUAUAUAUCACGAGGAACCCCGAUGGGGGGGUCGGCACUCGGGACCAUUUCUGAUUAUGGGGCACGAAAGCAUGGGGAGCAAACAG